rnacentral:rRNA from 1 species
AGUGAACGCUGGCGGUAGGCCUAACACAUGCAAGUCGAACGGCAGCACAGGAGAGCUUGCUCUCUGGGUGGCGAGUGGCGGACGGGUGAGGAAUACAUCGGAAUCUACUUUUUCGUGGGGGAUAACGUAGGGAAACUUACGCUAAUACCGCAUACGACCUACGGGUGAAAGCAGGGGAUCUUCGGACCUUGCGCGAGUGAAUGAGCCGAUGUCGGAUUAGCUAGUUGGCGGGGUAAAGGCCCACCAAGGCGACGAUCCGUAGCUGGUCUGAGGGGAUGAUCAGCCACACUGGAACUGAGAAACGGUCCAGACUCCUACGGGAGGCAGCAGUGGGGAAUAUUGGACAAUGGGCGCAAGCCUGAUCCAGCCAUACCGCGUGGGUGAAGAAGGCCUUCGGGUUGUAAAGCCCUUUUGUUGGGAAAGAAAUCCAGCUGGUUAAUACCCGGUUGGGAUGACGGUACCCAAAGAAUAAGCACCGGCUAACUUCGUGCCAGCCGCCGCCGUAA